rnacentral:lncRNA from 10 species
GAGGGCAGUCAUGCCCCAAGUGCAGUGUUUUUGUGAUUAGGCACAACUGAAGCUUGUUAGCAAUAAUAUGACCCUGUGAUUAAUUGAGCGGCUGACCAAUCAUUACCUCCUCCUCCCUGCUCUUUCUACCCAAUAAAUACAAAGGGCUGUGGAAGCUCAAUGGGCUGCCUUUGCUCAUUAGAAGCAGGGAGCUCUCUUCUUCUUCCCCUGGAUCCUUCCUUUAAAAUAGUUUCUUUUGUCUUAAGUUUUCAUUUCUACGUUUGUCCCUUCAUUCAGUCUCUUAAAUGACGGUCUCAAGCAGUAACAGUAGUAAUUGCUGUAAUGACGGUCUCAAGUAGUAACCAGGGCACUCUGCCACAAGUGGCACCUGAACAGGGACUAACAGGGACUAUCAAGAACAAACGGAGACCUGAAGAGACCUGAAGGGAACUGAAGAGGUCUGCAGGGACAAAUAGAGAUAAGUAGGGAUAAAUAGAGAUAAAUAGAGACAAAUAGAGAUAGGUAAGGAAUGACAGGGACUUGCAGGAAGUAACAGGGACCAUAGGGACAGAUAGGGAUAGAUAAAGACUAGCAAAGACUAGCCGAGAUUAGCAAAGACCAGCAAGGACUAGCAGAGACUAGCAAAGACUAGCAGAAACUUGCAGGGACAGGCAGAGACAGAUAGGGACAGAUAGGGUCCUACAGGGACUUGAACGAGGAAGAUCUGCUGGAAAAGAAAAGAACUACAACCAACCAGAUGAACAAGAAACCCUGUUACAAGUCUGCUGGCAGCAACAUAAGGGUAUGCUUGUUUUUGCAGGAAAUGAACAAAAAGUGUGGGUGCCCCCAAGGUGUGUACUACCAUGGAAUGGGAGAUUGGAGGGACACAUGGAUCCCAACCGUGGGCCUGGUUCCCCCAGUAUGAGCUGAAUACGAAGACAGAACAAACCACCAACCGGCAAUUGAAGUGACACAAAGUGAACCGGGUUCUAUAAAUUACCAUGGAAAGUGGUGAGCCAACGAUUUGGCAGAACAAAACCCUGAGGAUAUGCAAACAAAAGGGACUAUGGAAUUUGCAAUUGCAGAUUAAAAUUGAAGAAGAAAACAUUUGAGUUGCAAAUACCGUAUUAAAAGUGGACACUGCUUAUGACUGCUGUAUGCAACAGUUUUUCAGGCCCGAGGUGAUAAAUAAAAAAUUGUUUGCUCUAUUUAACCAUUGAAUGCUUGGACUACUUUUGUAUCCUUAAGAUGUGAAGUGUUCUUCACUAGAAGUAAACAUUAAGGUCAUUUACCAUUGAUUGCUUAAGGCUAGUAAAUACGUUUAAGGAGUUUUAAAGCUUUACUUUGGGAGAAGUCAGGACCAGACAGCUUAAUAAAGCCACUCUGUGUGGGACCAUGACUAAGUUUUGUUGUGUUUACAGACAUUUUGUCACAGAAUCAAAGUUAACUUUUUUUUUUAAUUCUCUUUGCCACAGAGGAACCCAGACAUGCUCUAUUUGCAAACCGACUGCAUGAAACAAAAAGCACGGUAAUUCUGAAGCUGUUGGCUUGGAUGAAAUGAGAAUGUAAUUAAAAAGAAAAAGGUUAGCAAAAGAACAUGCUGGGAAUUGAAAAUAAAAAUCUGAAAUGAUGUCCCAGCCUGCCCUUAAGGUCUUUUCCACCAUGUAGAGAGCUACCUCAAAUGCUCUACUUGUCCCAGAGUCUAUGUUCUUUCACUACUAUUGCCUAUAUCUGUGUUUUCUGCUUUCAAUAAUCUAUUGAAAUAAUCAAAAUUAAUUACAUUCAGCAUUUUUUCUGUAUUACUCUGAUUCUAAUAAUUACCUCAAAUUUAUUUGUGCAUUUCUAUACUAGAAAGAAAAAAUAAUUUUUAGAGUUUUACUAUAUCUUCCCCUUAAUUCUAAGUUGCUUGUCACUAAUUCCUUUCCCAACACUAUGUUAUUUCCACCAAGAACAUUACCAAUAUCUUCAGGAAAAUUCCACCCCAUAUUUUAAGCCAGAUUGAUUAUUGGGAAUAUAAAUACAUUUAAGAAGGAAAGUCUUUUUGACUGUGUUUCUCCACAGACCAAUAGUAUACAAAACACAGAAGGCUUUUAAGCACAUUUCAUAGGGAUCACUGACUUAGAACAGAAGGAACCAUUUCGUGAAACACUCUCAUUUUGCACAUAAAGGAGCUGUGGCCCACAGAGGAAUAUGAUUUACUGAGAGUGACCCAGUUAGUGGCCAUAAACCAAAAGCCCCAAGAUGCUAAAUGUUUGUUAUGAAGAGUAAAAAUCCUCCCAGUUUAUAAGAAGUAACUUCAUCCUUCCAUUUUCUAUUUCCACGAUGACUCCCCUGGCUUAAAUUUUAAUCUCUAUUUUGGAUGACUCCAAAAUCUCAUUCUUCUAAAUUAAUUAUCUAAUACCACAAUGUUGCACUUAUCUUCCUACAAAUCUACUUUCAUCUGCCUUGACAAAGCCAACCCUAAUUUUCUCUAGUCCUCAUUAGAAAUUAUUGCAACAAAAAUUCACAUCCAGUCUGAAGUUUGGGAGCCAGAAAAGAAUUUUCCCAUUAAGAUGAGACAGUAUCAAUUAUUAAGCAGAGGAAGACACAAGAGGGAAAGCAGCUUUCACAUGAAAAAAAAAGAACUCUGAUUUUCUGACACAUUUUGUCAUUGCAGUCAAACUUUCAGAGUUAGAACUAGAGACCUAGAUAUUAGCUAACCCAGCAUUUUCCAAGUAUUCCUCGGAACUCUAGAGGCACAGCAUAGUACUGGUAAUGAUUUUGUGGCAGGAUAGAUUAAGGAAACCUCACAGUUAUACCAAGUUAAAUUCAUUUAUUUCAUGUAAAAUUCUGAUAGCCUUUUAUGCUACUAGGCCUAGUGAUACUCCAAAAUUAUUGGCCAUAUAUCUGAAAUUUAUUUCAGCAAGAAACCCUUUAAAGAGCAUCCCGCAGAGUUAGUGUUUUGAGGGAUAUCAUUGGGGAAAAUGCUGAUCUAGACCAAUUCAACAAAUUGUAACUUAGUUAACACCAGAGUCAAAACAAAAACCAAGUCUACUCAUGUCUGUCUUAGGCCCUUUUGGUCACAAAAACACGUUCAAACCACUUCAAUUAAGAAAAUGGUGAGAGGGGAAAAGACAAGCAGGGAACCUUAUCCCAGGUGGGCUGAUCACAGGACUUCCAAGGCUGUCCCUUAGAAGAGUCACGAUAAUGGCAUCUCUAGCACAAAACUCAAAUUUAGUUUUAAUUCUUAGUCGAAUAAUAAUACAGUAAAAUUUAUUGCAUGCAUAAGGAUAAUACAUUAAAACUACUUAAAUUACAUUUUAGGGCCGGGCGCGGUGGCUCACGCCUGUAAUCCCAGCACUUUGGGAGGCCGAGGCGGGUGGAUCACGAGGUCAGGA